rnacentral:rRNA from 1 species
AGCAGCCGCGGUAAUUCCAGCUCCAAUAGCGUAUAUUAAAGUUGUUGCAGUUAAAAAAGCUCGUAGUUGAAUUUUGGAUUCUUCCAAUUGGUCCAUCUUUUAGAUGAGUACUGGUUGUGUGGGGGUCUAUCCGCCUGGUGAUACGUAAUGUCCUUUAUUGGAUGUUGCGGGUAGUCAGGACCUUUACCUUGAAAAAAAUUAGAGUGUUUAAAGCAGGCUUAUGCCGGAAUACAUUAGCAUGGAAUAAUAGAAUAGGACGAAGUUGUUUUAUUUUGUUGGUUUCUAGGACAACCGUAAUGAUUAAUAGGGAUAGUUGGGGGCAUUAGUAUUCAAUUGUCAGAGGUGAAAUUCUUGGAUUUAUUGAAGACUAACUACUGCGAAAGCAUUUGCCAAGGAUGUUUUUCAUUAAUCAAGAACGAAAGUUAGGGGAUCGAAGACGAUCAGAUACCGUCGUAGUCUUAACCAUAAACUAUGCCGACUAGGGAUCGGGCGAUGUUGUUUCCAUGACUGGCUCGGCACC